UCAAAAGUAGAAAUUGCAGAGAGUAUCUUUAUUGAUUCAUAUAAUAAGCAAAGUACAAUUACACGAGAAAGUGAAAUCUGAAGAAGAAAUAAAUUACAAGCACAAUACUCUGUUCUCAUUUACAAUUCAAGCUCCUUUUGGAGACUGGGUUUGCUAUGAACAUAGAACAAAAAAAACCUGGAAAGUUGCAGAAUGAAAAGUGUCGAUAAAGGUUUUCCAUCUUCGUGAUCUAAAGCUCUAAUUCCUUCCACAAGUUGCCUUUCAAAAAUAUCCAGGAAUUCGAUAGUUAAAGUGGCAAUCCAAGUUCCAUUCUCUUUUACGAUUCAAAGUCUCAUGGAGAUGUGAUUUGUUUAUCAACUUUCAAAACAGGAACUAGAAAGUUGAUGAAAUGAUAAGCGCACAUAAGUUUUCCAUCCUCAUGACCUAAAGUUCCACAAGUUGCCUUCCAAAAGUUUUGAGAAUUUGACAUUUGAACUGACAUCCCGAGUUCCAUUCUUGUUGUCUUUGAAUAAGUCGUGAAAACACUUUGACAACAAAUAUUCUUGAUGGCAUUUUCGAUAUAUCAAAAAUUGCGACAACAAGAGUUCCAUUCUCAUUGUAUACUGAUCUUGGUUCAAAUAACCGAGCUUAAAAUAUUCGAUAGCAUUCCAGCCUUCACAGUAAAAAACACAAAAGUCAAUAAAAGAAUAUAGUAUAAGAAUAAAAGAUAAUGAUCAAAUUUUGCAUACCCCAAACCUAAGGUUGUAAAUUAUGAUCGAGUAGUGCUGUCCAAACGAUCUGAGAUGAAAGGACUCCUUGCGUGCUUAUCAAGAGCAGCAGGAGGAAAUAGAUCUGGGAUAGAGCGCAGAUGUCUCAAGCGUUUUGUGACCAACAACACUAACAAUGAAAAGCAAACCAUGAGUAACAGACCAAAUGCUGACAACAACAGACGAAAUACAAUUAGUCUUGUAUUGAGCUAAAAGACAGACCUCAAACCUCAGGCCAGUAUAUUAUAUUCCUUCUAUUGCAGGGACGCUGGCACAAAAGAGAGUAUCCAUAAGCAACAAGG
rnacentral:lncRNA from 1 species